rnacentral:ncRNA from 1 species
GAGGUGGACAGAUUUGGCCGAUUGCAACCACAGAAAAAAAUGCUAAAGA